rnacentral:rRNA from 1 species
CCUACGGGGGGCAGCAGUGAGGAAUAUUGGUCAAUGGGCGAGAGCCUGAACCAGCCAAGUCGCGUGAAGGAUGAAGGAUCUAUGGUUUGUAAACUUCUUUUAUAUGGGAAUAAAGUGAGGAACGUGUUCCUUUUUGUAUGUACCAUAUGAAUAAGCAUCGGCUAACUCCGUGCCAGCAGCCGCGGUAAUACGGAGGAUGCGAGCGUUAUCCGGAUUUAUUGGGUUUAAAGGGUGCGUAGGUGGUUAAUUAAGUCAGCGGUGAAAGGUUGUGGCUCAACCAUAAAAUUGCCGUUGAAACUGGUUGACUUGAGUAUAUUUGAGGUAGGCGGAAUGCGUGGUGUAGCGGUGAAAUGCAUAGAUAUCACGCAGAACUCCGAGUGCGAAGGCAGCUUACUAAACUAUAACUGACACUGAAGCACGAAAGCGUGGGGAUCAAACAGGAUUAGAUACCCUGGUAGUC